AUGAACGCUGGCGGCGUGCCUAAUACAUGCAAGUCGAGCGAACAGACGAGGAGCUUGCUCCUCUGACGUUAGCGGCGGACGGGUGAGUAACACGUGGAUAACCUACCUAUAAGACUGGGAUAACUUCGGGAAACCGGAGCUAAUACCGGAUAAUAUAUUGAACCGCAUGGUUCAAUAGUGAAAGACGGGUUUGCUGUCACUUAUAGAUGGAUCCGCGCCGCAUUAGCUAGUUGGUAAGGUAACGGCUUACCAAGGCAACGAUGCGUAGCCGACCUGAGAGGGUGAUCGGCCACACUGGAACUGAGACACGGUCCAGACUCCUACGGGAGGCAGCAGUAGGGAAUCUUCCGCAAUGGGCGAAAGCUUGACGGAGCAACGCCGCGUGAGUGAUGAAGGUCUUCGGAUCGUAAAACUCUGUUAUUAGGGAAGAACAAAUGUGUAAGUAACUAUGCACGUCUUGACGGUACCUAAUCAGAAAGCCACGGCUAACUACGUG
rnacentral:rRNA from 1 species